CUCUGACUGAAGACACUGUUUUUCUGAUGAAGAGGAUGCUCAGAGUGACAACUUGAAAGUCAUACAGAAAUGUCGUCUGGCUGAAGAUGUCAAACCUCAAAGCAGAAGCCCAAGAGGAUCAGGUGAACUGAGAUCUAUUCAGAUUUUUAGGAAAAGCCACAGAUCCAGAAAAUCUCCCCCAUGACCAGCAGCUCCAGCAGCCACAGCCUCCCACCUGUCCUCCACCUUCACCAUCUCAUCCACCAGCUGCUCUGUGUUCACCUGUAGCUGUUUAGUCCAACCAGUAACUCCACUAACCGACUCCGUUCAACUGGAAAUUCCUCUAUCAGACUGAAGCAUUCUGUGUAACGUCUUCAAAGCCUUAAGGAGUUGAAGGAGUUUGCCUGGGAAACCCCGGGAUGCUGCGAGCCGUUCUGACCCGUCUGGUUCUGCUGAAGAGAUGGACUCACUGGAUGAGCUCGGCCUUCCAGCCUCCACUGCAGAGAAAUUAGAAGUCCUGAACCAAAAACUGGAAUCAGGAGUUGUUCAGAAAUAAAUACUGGAUCUCAGAGGGACCUGAUCUGCUGUCUGCAACAUUUUAUCCAAAAUCCUCUCAAACCACCAAGCAGAGCAGCAGAGAUCUAUUCAGACUGGGUGGAGAGAGAAGUCUUUCUGGUCACCAGCUCUUGGUGACUGAAAUAUUU